AGGAAAACCCCAAAGCCCUGGUUUAGGUCUGCCAACAAUGAUCUGGACCUCAAUUUCUUUUUAUUUCAUCACUGCCAAACACAGUGUGCCAAGUACAGGAAUAGUGACACUGGCUCCAAGUUUAGUGGGAGAGACCGUAAGAGGCAUAUGAACUACAAGAUCUUCAGGAAGAUCCAAAGGACUCAGUAACCUAAGGUCUCUGGCAGUUUCCACAUUCUAAGGAGCCUCCGUGCUCAGAGAAAAGCCUGGUCAAUGUGGCCUAAAAUGGACAAGGAAGACUUCAUCACAGGGUGAAACUUGAGUUGUGCUUCCAGCAGGAAAUAAAAAUCUUGGUAACAUGGAUCCACACUGACUCAAGUCUAAUUAUUUCCUAUCAAGACCCAAACGAAGACAGCACUUUCUACCUCCCUUUUUGCCAGCUCAUAUUUGAGUUCAGCAUGGAGUCAUCGUCUUGAGACAGACCGCUAAUAGUCCUGCAAUAUUCAUCGUGCCCUCCACUAUUAUUGUAACAGAGUAUGAGAGCUUCAGCUAGGUACAUGGCCACCCAGAAUAAGCACAAUUCCCUGCUGGUCAUAUGACUAAUUGCUAACCAAUAAAAUGGAAACAAAGUGACAUGUAUCUGCAGCUUCAUCCAGAGUCUCAUGUGACUGUGUCAGUGUUUCCAACUCUGACGUCUUAAAUUCAGCAAUAUCAGUAGUGAUGUUUCACACUAUGAUAAUUGGCAUAUUAUCCUGACUACAUAGCACAGAGCCUGGUCCUUCAUCCCUCCCUGAAUUCUUUGAUGCCCUUUUGUAAGCUCCUUUCUUCCUUAAAUUAGCCAGAGUUGGUUUAUGUUGCUUGCAACUGAGAACGUUGACAGAGAGAUACUAUUCUAGGCUCUAUGUAUGAAUAUACAUGUGUAGUCCCUUCCCUGUGGAAUCCUCAAGGUCCAAGUAUUAGUCGUUGUUUUAUUUCUUUAGCCCUUCCUCCCAAUGUAGAACCUGCCUAUGAGAUUAAAGUAAUGAGUCAGUUCUUAAACAAUUUUACAUCUAAGCAACUUAUACAUCUUAGGACCCCUCCAAGUAGCAAAUCUUGGCUCAUAACACACUUAUUACACUGGUAGUGCCACUGUUUAAAACUUUUUAAAAUUGUUUGAGAAUUGCCUUGUGCCUGGCACAUAAUCUUUUGUUUUAGGAAAGUAUGUGUUUAAAAUCUAAAUAUUACAAGAUGAAAAAUCUCCUUCUCAAAUUUUUUCCUUGGUUUCCUAGUUUCCAUCCCUAGAAUUCAUGUGCUUCUUAAUUCCUUUAAAUCCUUCUAGAGAUAGUAUAGGGGUGUGUGUGUGUGUGUGUGUGUGUAUGUGUGUGUGUAAAUUAUGUAUUUAUAUCCUUUUUUAGCAAAAGCAGUAAUACAUUCUUAUGUACCUAGUUAUUUCACUUAAUAUAUACCUCUGGCUCAUUCUUACUAAUGACAGAAUAGUGUUCUAAUUAACUGAUGCUCCGUAAUUACCUAACCUGUCUCCUAUUGUUGGAUAUUUAUGUUUUCUCUAAUCUUUUCCUGUUGUAGUAAAUAUUCUGUGCAAGAUUUCUUCUGUACUUUUAUGAAUGUAGCUGUGGGAUAAAUUCCAAGAAGUAUAUCCACUUGGUAAAAGGGUACAUUCAUUUAUUAUUAAUAAAUAUUUCUAAAUUACCCUAAAAAGAAAUAGUGUAAAGUACCCUCUUUUCUUUUUCCUUUUUUUCUUUUUUUUAAUUGAAACAGGGUCUUCCUCCCUUGCCCAGGCUGUGAUGCAGUGGUUGCUGUCAUGGCUCACUGCAACCUCGACCUCCCCAGCUCAAUGGAUCCGUCUGCCUCAGACUCCCAAGUAGCUGAGACUAUAGACAUGUGCCACCACACUCAGCUAAUUUUUGUACCUUUUUGUAGAGAUGGGGUUUCGCCAUGUUGCCCAGGCUGGUCUCGAACUCCUGGGCUCAAACAAUCCACCGGCCUCUGCCUCCCACAGUGCUGAGACUACAGGCAUGAGUCAUUGUGCCUGGCAAAAUUACACUCUUAUGCAAAUUUUUACCUUUUGAGAAUAGGUUUAACUUCUGAAAACUGCCCCAAGUUACUCAAAACCAAGUCUGAUGAAUAAAAGCAUGAUUUUCUUAGGUAACAACAUUCUCAGUACAGGAUGAGCUGUGACUGAAAGUAAUUAGAUGAGUUUUUUGUUAGUUUGAUUUGUAAAAUGAGUGUGAGAUAAGCUCCAAAAGGUCCAAACAUAUUUUGAGCAACAGUAGUAUCACUCAAGUAAGUGUGCUGCCUCCCAAAUGGAUACUUUUUUUUUUUUUUGAGACAGAGUCUCUCUCUGUCGCCAGGCUGGAAUGCAGUGGCGCGAUCCCAGCUCACUGCAACCUCUGACUCCCCGGUUCAAGUGAUUCUCCUGCCUCAGUCUCCCAAGUAGCUAGGAUUACAGGCAUACACCACCACGUCCAGCUAAUUUUUGUAUUUUUAGUAGAGCUGGG
rnacentral:lncRNA from 1 species